rnacentral:piRNA from 1 species
CAAAGGACAGACAGGAAGUGCUUGGA